GGAAGCAAAGAGCCCUAUUUCAUUAUCUAAUAGAUCAAAAUAGGCACCUUGAGUGAUAGAUAUUAUAGUUGAAAUCUUAGGUGCUGCAUAUAAAUGUAGGUUAACUGCAGUGUGUAGGACCGUGCCAAAAAUAGGAAGAUACAUGAAUGUUUGUAGAUCUGACUCAUUCAUUCAUUAGACUUCUAAAAUAUAUGUUAGUUUCAAGAUUUGGAGUGCAGAGUGGUAGAAAAGAGUCCUUUCAUCGGAGGUAUUUCUAUUUGAGAAGAUUGAUGAAAGCGUGGCUUUUUAUGGUACUUUUGUUUGAUGAUGAUGUUUGAAUCCGAAAUCCAAAUGGAGUUCCUCAACAAAUCUAAGUAGCUAGCUAGGUGGAGUUGAUACAUGCAUUUCUUGGCUAUACCAUGAAACAGGAAUUCAAUCAACCACGGUACCUACCUCCCUCUGGUGAUGGUGACAUCAUUGAGCAAGUUGUGAUGAUGAAUGAUGAUGGUGGGAUUAUUGAAUUGUCCUCUAACUUGCGUGAAGCCAAGUGAUUCGGAAAAUGCGAGAACAGAAGAUGCACAUCUAAAUGCUUCUAUUUCAACUGAAUCCCUUCCAAACAUGCCGUAGUAAUAGUAUGUGCGGGGUUUUGGCUAGUAUCCUUGAAGUCAUUACAUGAUGCUAUAGUAGUACAGACAGCUAUCAAAUUUGGUGAUAACAAGAUUUCCAAAGUGAUGUAAAGUAUGGGCUUGUGGUUCCUAAAAGACAAUUUGUUGAUGAAAAUGCACAAGUUGGUGUAGUGGUGUAUAGUUGGUGGCAUACAUAGUUUAGACAACAGACUGGCAGGACAAUUAAGUUAUAUAAUUACUUCAGUUUAUUAAAAAAACAACAUAUUUUCUCAGGUAGUAUCUGGUGCAAAGAAUGCACCUCACUUUGAGUUCAAAUCUGAACUUGACCUUUUACACACAUACAACAAAAUAUGAUAAUUUUUUUAUGAUUUUAUGAAAAUGUAUUCAUUGAA